rnacentral:rRNA from 1 species
GUCCACGCCGUAAACGAUGAAUGUUAGCCGUUGGGGAGUUUACUCUUCGGUGGCGCAGCUAACGCAUUAAACAUUCCGCCUGGGGAGUACGGUCGCAAGAUUAAAACUCAAAGGAAUUGACGGGGGCCCCGCACAAGCGGUGGAGCAUGUGGUUUAAUUCGAAGCAACGCGCAGAACCUUACCAGCCCUUGACAUACCGGUCGCGGACACAGAGAUGUGUCUUUCAGUUCGGCUGGACCGGAUACAGGUGCUGCAUGGCUGUCGU